rnacentral:rRNA from 1 species
GAUGAACGCUGACAGAAUGCUUAACACAUGCAAGUCAACUUGAAUUUGGGUUUUUAACUUAGGUUUGGGUGGCGGACGGGUGAGUAACGCGUAAAGAACUUGCCACACAGCUAGGGACAACAUUUGGAAACGAAUGCUAAUACCUAAUAUUAUGAUAAUAGGGCAUCCUAUAAUUAUGAAAGCUAUAAGCGCUGUGAGAGAGCUUUGCGUCCCAUUAGCUAGUUGGAGAGGUAACGGCUCACCAAGGCGAUGAUGGGUAGCCGGCCUGAGAGGGUGAUCGGCCACAAGGGGACUGAGACACGGCCCUUACUCCUACGGGAGGCAGCAGUGGGGAAUAUUGGACAAUGGACCGAGAGUCUGAUCCAGCAAUUCUGUGUGCACGAUGAAGUUUUUCGGAAUGUAAAGUGCUUUCAGUUGGGAAGAAACAAAUGACGGUACCAACAGAAGAAGUGACGGCUAAAUACGUG